rnacentral:rRNA from 1 species
GAUGAACGCUAGCUACAGGCUUAACACAUGCAAGUCGAGGGGAAACGAUAUUGGAAGCUUGCUUCCGAUAGGCGUCGACCGGCGCACGGGUGAGUAACGCGUAUCCAACCUGCCCACCACUUGGGGAUAACCUUGCGAAAGUAAGACUAAUACCCAAUGAUAUCUCUAGAAGCCAUCUGAAAGAGAUUAAAGAUUUAUCGGUGAUGGAUGGGGAUGCGUCUGAUUAGCUUGUUGGCGGGGUAACGGCCCACCAAGGCGACGAUCAGUAGGGGUUCUGAGAGGAAGGUCCCCCACAUUGGAACUGAGACACGGUCCAAACUCCUACGGGAGGCAGCAGUGAGGAAUAUUGGUCAAUGGACGAGAGUCUGAACCAGCCAAGUAGCGUGCAGGAUGACGGCCCUAUGGGUUGUAAACUGCUUUUAUAAGGGAAUAAAGUGAGCCUCGUGAGGCUUUUUGCAUGUACCUUAUGAAUAAGGACCGGCUAAUUCCGUGCCAGCAGCCGCGGUAA